UACGUAGGAGGCAAGCGUUGUCCGGAAUUACUGGGCGUAAAGCGCGUGUAGGUGGUGGGACAAGUCUGCUGUGAAAGCGCCUGGCUUAACCGGGCGAGGUCGGCGGAAACUGUCCGACUCGAGGACGGUAGAGGGGGUGGAAUUCCCGGUGUAGUGGUGAAAUGCGUAGAUAUCGGGAGGAACACCAGUGGCGAAGGCGGCUUCCUGGCCUGUUCUUGACGCUGAGGCGCGAAAGCUAGGGUAGCAAACGGGG
rnacentral:rRNA from 1 species